UCCACUGUUGCGUUUUUCAUACGUACGUACACGCACGUAAAACUUUAUGAAAUAACCAAAUAAAUAAAGCAACAGAAUUUAGUGUUCCACAAGUUUUAGUAUGCAUUUGUCAACUUAUUUGUAAAAUGUUAAAAAAAUAGAAGGAUUCAAAGUUUUAUGUGCGUGUACGUGCGUACGAAAAACGCAACAGCGGA